rnacentral:rRNA from 1 species
AAAUUGAAGAGUUUGAUCAUGGCUCAGAUUGAACGCUGGCGGCAGGCCUAACACAUGCAAGUCGAGCGGUAGCACAGAGAGCUUGCUCUCGGGUGACGAGCGGCGGACGGGUGAGUAAUGUCUGGGAAACUGCCUGAUGGAGGGGGAUAACUACUGGAAACGGUAGCUAAUACCGCAUAACGUCGCAAGACCAAAGUGGGGGACCUUCGGGCCUCAUGCCAUCAGAUGUGCCCAGAUGGGAUUAGCUAGUAGGUGGGGUAACGGCUCACCUAGGCGACGAUCCCUAGCUGGUCUGAGAGGAUGACCAGCCACACUGGAACUGAGACACGGUCCAGACUCCUACGGGAGGCAGCAGUGGGGAAUAUUGCACAAUGGGCGCAAGCCUGAUGCAGCCAUGCCGCGUGUGUGAAGAAGGCCUUCGGGUUGUAAAGCACUUUCAGCGGGGAGGAAGGCGGUGAGGUUAAUAACCUUGUCGAUUGACGUUACCCGCAGAAGAAGCACCGGCUAACUCCGUGCCAGCAGCCGCGGUAAUACGGAGGGUGCAAGCGUUAAUCGGAAUUACUGGGCGUAAAGCGCACGCAGGCGGUCUGUCAAGUCGGAUGUGAAAUCCCCGGGCUCAACCUGGGAACUGCAUUCGAAACUGGCAGGCUAGAGUCUUGUAGAGGGGGGUAGAAUUCCAGGUGUAGCGGUGAAAUGCGUAGAGAUCUGGAGGAAUACCGGUGGCGAAGGCGGCCCCCUGGACAAAGACUGACGCUCAGGUGCGAAAGCGUGGGGAGCAAACAGGAUUAGAUACCCUGGUAGUCCACGCCGUAAACGAUGUCGAUUUGGAGGUUGUGCCCUUGAGGCGUGGCUUCCGGAGCUAACGCGUUAAAUCGACCGCCUGGGGAGUACGGCCGCAAGGUUAAAACUCAAAUGAAUUGACGGGGGCCCGCACAAGCGGUGGAGCAUGUGGUUUAAUUCGAUGCAACGCGAAGAACCUUACCUGGUCUUGACAUCCACAGAACUU